ensembl:lncRNA
GUGAGAACAGCCUUCAGCACUCAGCCAUCCGGCCUCCUCACGCCCCACUGUUACCCAGGCAACACGCCCUGCGCAGCCAUUGGCCAGCGCCUCACCGGGCCCCACCCACAAGGAGCACGCCCAGUCCUGCUCAGCUCUGGGUGGGGCCGCAGCGGGCCUGCCCGCAGGUAACGAGCUGCCGAGGAGGGGCUGUGAGUGAGGGGAUGCGGCCAAUAGCUGGUCAUCAGGUGGACAGUGAGUGAGAGGCAGCUUCAGGCCUCCUCCCGGAAGCCCUCCGGCUCACCUCAACUUGGGCCAGCGGCGCUGGGGGCCCAGCCAGGACCGGGCCCCUGGAGGGCGAACGCUGUGCCCUCGAGACCUCGCCCUUCCUCGUCAGGACAGAGCAGUACAUUCGUUUGAUCCGUUUCGCUUCUUCGGCAGAGAGUGGGGAGGAGAGGAAAAGGUGGGGAUACAGACACGCAUCUCGUGGGGCACUAUGGCUCUGCCGCCUGCACAACCACAGUGCUUAGAGAACCAAACCUCUAGAGGAACGUGGAACUCUCAUUCCUAGAAUAAUAUCACCACACACACAACCACACAGAGAAACCCCAAAACGUGUCAUUCUGCGCUGUUCUGGAUAUGGGAGAGUCCUGUUUGUGAGCAUAAUGGUGAUGACGGUGGUUUAAUCACUAAGUCGUGUCCGACGCUUGUGAUCCCGUGGACUGUAGCCCGAUAGGUCCUCUGUCUAAAGGAUUCUCCAGGCAAGAGCACUGGAGUGGCUGCCAUUCCCUUCUCCAGGGGAUCUUCCCUACCCGUGGAUCAAACCCGGGUCUCCUGCGUUACAGGCAGAUUCUUUACCAACUGAGCUACAAGGGAAGCCCGAUGGU